rnacentral:misc_RNA from 1 species
UUUUCAGUGGACAUUGGCGCUGACCGUAUUGUAUGUGGAGGAGAGGAGGGUGUUGUUAGGAUCUGGAACUUUACACAAGCUUUGGAAAUUGAGCAGAGGGCUCGAGCUCUAAGAGGAAUACGAUUGGAGAAUCGGAUAAGGAGGCGCAAGCUCCAAAUAGAGAUGAACAAAGGUGCACGAACUGACCAGUGUUCUAUGGCAGCCAAGAACUCUAUGCAUGGAGAUAGGAGUAAUGUCUGGCACAGCAAACGUGGAAUAAGUAGCAAGGUGAAGGCUUAGCAACAAAUAGCAAUUACUAAAUUCUUCUAGGUGCAAUGACUCUCUACCAUGUGGAUAAUUAAGUAACAGAUUUAUACAAUUAUGGUUUAAGCAUGCCAAGUUACUGAUUGUAGUUGGUUUUUUCUUUUCCAAUAGCAUUUGGCUUUUAAAGAUAAGUUUCAUUUUAUGGUGGUUUGAAGAUGUGCUUGUUAGAAUGGUUUAUAUCUUAU